CCUACGGGGGGCUGCAGUGGGGAAUAUUGCACAAUGGGGGAAACCCUGAUGCAGCAACGCCGCGUGAGCGAUGAAGGCCUUCGGGUCGUAAAGCUCUGUCCUAAGGGAAGAAUACUGACGGUACCUUAGGAGGAAGCCCCGGCUAACUACGUGCCAGCAGCCGCGGUAAUACGUAGGGAGCUAGCGUUAUCCGGAAUUACUGGGCGUAAAGGGUGCGUAGGCGGCCCUUCAAGUCAGAGGUGAAAGGCUACGGCUCAACCGUAGUAAGCCUUGGAAACUGUAGGGCUUGAGUGCAGGAGAGGAGGGUGGAAUUCACAGGGUAGGGGUGAGAUGGGUAGAUAGUGGGGGGAACACCAGUCGAGAGGGCGGCUCUCUGGACUGUAACUGACGCUGGGGCACGAAAGCGUGGGGAGCGAACAGGAUUAGAUACCCUGGUAGUC
rnacentral:rRNA from 1 species